CCUACGGGAGGCUGCAGUGAGGAAUAUUGGUCAAUGGACGAGAGUCUGAACCAGCCAAGUAGCGUGAAGGAUGAAUGCCCUAUGGGUUGUAAACUUCUUUUAUAUGGGAGUAAAAUGUUCCACGUGUGGGAUUUUGUAUGUACCAUAUGAAUAAGGAUCGCCUAACUCCGUGCCAGGAGCCGCGGUAAUCCGGAGGUUCUGAGGGUUAUCCGGAUUUAUUGGGGUUUAAGGGAGCGUAGGUGGAUUGUUAAGUCAGUUGUGAAAGUUUGCGGCUCAACCGCGCCCCGCAGUUGAAACUGGACGGCUUGAGUUCACAACAGGCAGGCGGAAUGUGUGGUGUAGCGGUGAAAUGCAUAGAUAUCACGAGGAACCCCGAUUGCGAAGGCAGCCUGCCGGGGUGCGACUGACGCUGAGGCUCGAAGGUGCGGGGAUCAAACAGGAUUAGAUACCCGAGUAGUC
rnacentral:rRNA from 1 species